rnacentral:rRNA from 1 species
ACAUCCAGAGAACUUAGCAGAGAUGCUUUGGUGGCCUUCGGGAACUCUGAGACAGGUGCUGCAUGGCUGUCGUCAGCUCGUGUUGUGAAAUGUUGGGUUAAGUCCCGNAACGAGCGCAACCCUUAUCCUUUGUUGCCAGCGGUUCGGCCGGGAACUCAAAGGAGACUGCCGGUGAUAAACCGGAGGAAGGUGGGGAUGACGUCAAGUCAUCAUGGCCCUUACGGCCAGGGCUACACACGUGCUACAAUGGCGCAUACAAAGAGAAGCGACCUCGCGAGAGCAAGCGGACCUCAUAAAGUGCGUCGUAGUCCGGAUUGGAGUCUGCAACUCGACUCCAUGAAGUCGGAAUCGCUAGUAAUCGUAGAUCAGAAUGCUACGGUGAAUACGUUCCCGGGCCUUGUACACACCGCCCGUCACACCAUGGGAGUGGGUUGCAAAAGAAGUAGGUAGCUUAACCUUCGGGAGGGCGCUUACCACUUUGUGAUUCAUGACUGGGGUGAAGUCGUAACAAGGUAAGCGUAGCGAG